rnacentral:rRNA from 1 species
GAAUGCAAGGAUCGAGGUCCAUCGUUAUGAUGCGUACUGGAUCUUUGCUUCCUUCUUUUCAGUAUUUGAUCUCUUGCUUUCGGGCAGGGGAUUGAAACUGGAUAGUUUACUUUGAAAAAAUUAGAGUGUUCAAAGCAGGCCUAACCUAGCCUUGAAUACAUUAGCAUGGGAUAAUAAAAGAUGACUUUGGUCUUAUUUUGUUGGUUUCUAAGGCUAAAGUA